CAUCUUAUUCAAGCACACCUUACAAAGGGAGAUAUAAGGAUUGGCAAAUGGCAACAGAGAUUUUUGUUGUUUGUUGAUGUGGUAGGUGGAGAUUUUGGUAGGGAUUUUAGUCCACCCCUGAAAACUAGAGAGAGAGAGAGAGAUCAAUCCACUACCCCCGAAUCACAAGCCUGGCACAAAGAUCUAUGAUCAGAACACCGCUUUAUAGUAAGAAGAGCAGAUCCAGCAAUUGAGGUAUCUCCUACUACCAAACACAAAACCACAAUUCCCUUUUUAAAUUACUUAAAUACAUAGCAAUAGGUGAGGAAAGAAAGAAAAA